rnacentral:lncRNA from 1 species
CUUGCAGACUGAUUAAUCUACCCUUGUCUGUCUUCAUACUCUUUUACCCAUUUUUAUCAGGGCAUAAAAUAAGUUAGGAAGUAGGUCCUAUAUCUGAUGGCCAAAAUGAGGCAUGUUCUAUUGCCUCAUUUUUGGGUCUCAUAAAUAUGGAAUUUUUUCAGGGGUAUGUCUGAGCUCUUCUGCUCAACCUCCUGCCAGCUCUGUAUUUCCCAGUCUUCAUGAUGGGUAUCAAGAAAAGGGAAAAUAAGAAAGACUUGGCAUUUGAGUUUUGAAGGUUAGAGCUACAUAUUUGAUGAUCAAGAGCUCUCAAACUGCACCUGGAUACUAAUUCUGAAUGGAAACUUACAAUUGUAAGGUGGACAAAUCCUUUUUGUGUGAGGAAGAUGUGGCUGUUGGGAGAGUCAAGUAAUUGAAUGACGUGAAUUUCCUGGAGUUUCCAUAAGUUCCUGUAAAUUUAGCCUCCAACUGAAAUAAACCAACUGAAUGUAAGACAUCAGACCCUAAAGAACCAAAGUUGUUAUUUCUGUGGAAGACCAGCCAACCUAUUCUCACAGCUGAAACAAUGGAUCUGGCCUGCAGAGUGUUAAGGCAUUCUCCAAGUUUCAAAACAAGAGUACACCAUUUUGAAGGCCUAUAAAUAGAAAGAAUUUUUCAAAUAUUAAUUCAGUAAUGACCUCUGUCUUUGGAAAAGAUAAUUGCAAUGUGUUACUGCGAACCAAUUUAAACCUGUAUUUCUCAUUGCAUUUAAUAUUUAAUUUUGUUUUUUAUCAUUAUAUAUCAACAGUUCUUUCUGGAGCAAAGCAAUCCUAUUUGACUUUUUUUUUUUUUAACCUUAUAGUGCACACACACAUGUAUGUGUAGGGUUAUUUAAACAAGGAAACAUUUACAUCAAAAUGUGCAAAGAGUUAUCCUGGAAUAGAAAUGCUGAAAAUAUAUUUUCAAGAAGUUUUAAAAUUCUAGGCUGGCCUCAAUGUAUUCAGUAGCAUGCCAGAAACAGAAAAAAAAAUUUAAUCUCUCCAUUUGCUUAUUCCUAUUAACAUAUAUAGAAAAAAAACUUGCUCUAAACCUAAUGCCUAUGCGAUAUGUUUGUUUCCUGAUGCUGAUGAUAAAUCAUAACCGGGCACUUGGUUAUAUUUUUUAAUGUUCUACAUUUCUAGCACUGCUACUGUAUUCACAAUGAGCUUUAUAUCUGACAGUAAUUUUAUUUUCAGGUUCAGUCAUAUGAUGCCUUUCUAUAGGAAUAGGUUCUAUCACAGGAACAAAUUAUUCAAAUCUAGUUUAACGGACUCAGCAAUUCUCCUCAGUUUUAUCUUGGGCAUUUUGUAUUCCUUUGCCUAAACCUAGUGGCUAUGUAACAAUUCAAUUACCAAAGUCCUUCAUCCAGAAAGUGCUGUUGAUUUCCAGUAAUUCUUAUUCUGUUUGAUUUCUUUUUUUUUUCCUCCUAGUUUAACACAUGCCAGUUGGUGUCGACUGAGUUAAAAAUCUUGAAAUAAGCCUGGCACUGUGUCAGUACAUAGGUUAAAAAAUGAAACAAAAAAAUUUAAUAAAAUAUACGCUAGAAAUGGAAAAUAAGAUUAGCAGUGGCAUUUCUUGUCAUAAGGACAUUUUCUGUCUAUGCACACAAAAUAAAACCAGCUCAGUGUAGCUGAAGAAGAGAGGAAAGAGAGAGGUGGUAUAAAUUGAAAGACGAAAAGGCAGAGACUGAGUGUACAGAAGCGCGUUGAGAGCAUGCAGUCAGCUGGCAAGAAAAGGCAACUCGAAGAGCCUCAGAAGGUAAAACCUCAGUUGGCAGAUAAAGUGGGUAAGAAGCAAGUUUUGAAAUAAAAUAGCAAUAGCAUAAGCAACUUGAAGGAAGAUGAAAAGAGCAAGGUGAUAAAAGUAUGCAAGAGUCUUUGGAGAUUAUUAGUAAUUUUAGGGAAUUACAAUGAUGAAAAGUUAUAAGGGAAAAAGACUUUACAUAUUCUUUAAUAAAAGAAAAUUACCUGUCAAAAUCUGUCUGCAUAGACACUAGUAUUAGAUUCUUGUUCUUCAAGAAAAAGGCAUGUCUGCUGGUCAGGCUGAGGUAUCAUCUAUCCUCUAUUUCUCUAAAUAAUGUUUUUCUGAUAAAAUAUGCAAAUACACAAUACACAUAUAUAUUUUGUGUGUAUAUUAUGUGUAUAUGUGUGUGUGUGUACAUACUUAUACAUAAAAUAAACACUCUGGAACUAAAAUUUCAAAGAAAGUCAAAGAAAAUAGACAAUAGUGGAACUCCACAAAACUUACCAGUAACCUGAAAUAGUGUAACAAAUUUAAAAUUAAUUCCCAUAAAUCUUCUACAUACAUUAAUUAUAUCUACAAAUAAUAAAUUCAUUAAAGAUCAGCAAUUUUCUGAUUAAAUUAUUCUAUACAAUAGGUACAUUUAGAUAAGUCAGAUAUAUAUUUGGAGAGGAGACCUGAGAAAACUUCCCUUUGUCAAUGUUGAUUAAAUUCAUCAAAUAAUGAGUUUCUACUUAAAAUGUGGCAAGUGCCCACACACCCUCUUAAUGAUUCCCUUUAGGUAUCUGCAUACCAAGUAACAGAAAUACAUAUAGGUAACAUUUUUGGACAUGUCUAUCCUAUUUUGUACUUUUGUAUUCCGUAAAGAAUCUUAAUAAUAGCCUUCUUUAGAAAGAGCACUGUGGAUUUCAAUACAUCAUCAUAGAAGGUUAAUAAAAAUAGCUAAAAAUUAUUCGGCCCUUACUAUGAAGCAGAUGCCUUUACUGCAGUUGAAAAAACAUAGGACUGGGAAGUUACCUCACUCUUCUGCCUCCUUUAUGUGUAGAUUUCAGGUAGAUUAUAUAAAGUAUUUCUACAUACCGGCCAGGCAUGGUGGCUCACACCUGUAAUC